CCUACGGGUGGCUGCAGUGAGGAAUCUUCCACAAUGGGCGAAAGCCUGAUGGAGCAACGCCGCGUGAAGGAUGAAGGCCCUCGGGUUGUAAACUUCUUUUAUGAGUGAAGAAUAUGACGGUAACUCAUGAAUAAGCACCGGCUAACUACGUGCCAGCAGCCGCGGUCAUACGUAGGGUGCAAGCAUUAUCCGGAGUGACUGGGCGUAAAGAGUUGCGUAGGUGGUUUGUUAAGUGAAUAGUGAAAUCUGGCGGCUCAACCGUACAGGCUAUUAUUCAAACUGGCAAACUCGAGAAUGGUAGAGGUAACUGGAAUUUCUUGUGUAGGAGUGAAAUCCGUAGAUAUAAGAAGGAACACCAAUGGCGUAGGCAGGUUACUGGACCAUUUCUGACACUGAGGCACGAAAGCGUGGGGAGCGAACCGGAUUAGAUACCCGGGUAGUC
rnacentral:rRNA from 1 species